CCCCGCCUGCUCACCGCUCGUCUCCUCUGCUCCCGUCCAGCGGAGUUUUCCUGUGCGGUCACUCAGCCGGGGCGCACCUGGCGGCCAUGGUGCUCUCGACCGACUGGGGGGAGUAUGGAGUCUCCCCGGACAUAAGAGGAGCUUUUCUGGUGAGUGGAGUGUACGACCUGGAGCCCAUCACGCACACCUACGUGAACAGCCCGCUCCGGAUGAGCCGGGAGGCUGCCUGGACUCACAGCCCCAUCCUGCGCGUGACGGCGCCGCCUUCCGGGACGGCCCGCG